CGCGGGGAAGUGUAAUGGUUGCACGCGAGGCUCAUAACCUCGAGGUAGUGGGUUCGAUUCCUACCCCCGCAACAA
rnacentral:tRNA from 1 species